rnacentral:rRNA from 1 species
AUUGAACGCUGGCGGCAGGCCUAACACAUGCAAGUCGAGCGGAUGAAGGGAGCUUGCUCCUGGAUUCAGCGGCGGACGGGUGAGUAAUGCCUAGGAAUCUGCCUGGUAGUGGGGGAUAACGUCCGGAAACGGGCGCUAAUACCGCAUACGUCCUGAGGGAGAAAGUGGGGGAUCUUCGGACCUCACGCUAUCAGAUGAGCCUAGGUCGGAUUAGCUAGUUGGUGGGGUAAAGGCCUACCAAGGCGACGAUCCGUAACUGGUCUGAGAGGAUGAUCAGUCACACUGGAACUGAGACACGGUCCAGACUCCUACGGGAGGCAGCAGUGGGGAAUAUUGGACAAUGGGCGAAAGCCUGAUCCAGCCAUGCCGCGUGUGUGAAGAAGGUCUUCGGAUUGUAAAGCACUUUAAGUUGGGAGGAAGGGCAGUAAGUUAAUACCUAGCUGUUUUGACGUUACCAACAGAAUAAGCACCGGCUAACUUCGUG